rnacentral:rRNA from 1 species
UACGUAGGGUCCGAGCGUUGUCCGGAAUUAUUGGGCGUAAAGGGCUCGUAGGCGGUUCGUCACGUCGGGAGUGAAAACUCGGAGCUUAACUCCGAGCCUGCUUCCGAUACGGGCAGACUAGAGGUAGGCAGGGGAGAGCGGAACUCCUGGUGUAGCGGUGGAAUGCGCAGAUAUCAGGAAGAACACCGGUGGCGAAGGCGGCUCUCUGGGACGGUACUGACGCUGAGACGCGAAAGCGUGGGAGCGAACAGG